rnacentral:rRNA from 1 species
GAAAGCGGCGAAAGGGAGAGUAACGCGUAGUUAUCUGCCCCAAGGUCCGGAAUAGCUGCGGGAAACUGCAGGUAAUGCCGGAUAAUAUCCCCGGAUCAAAGGUGUGAUUCCGCCUUGGGAGGAGACUGCGUACUACUAGCUUGUUGGUGGGGUAAUGGCCUACCAAGGCUUUGAUGGUUAGCGGGCGUGAGAGCGUGGCCCGUCUCACUGGGACUGAGACACUGCCCAGACACCUACGGGUGGCUGCAGUCGAGAAUCUUCGGCAAUGGACGAAAGUCUGACCGAGCGAUGCCGCGUGCGGGAUGAAGGCCCUCGGGUUGUAAACCGCUGUCAGUUGGGAGGAAGGCUCCGUGAAGAGCGGAGCUUGACCUAUCUUCAGAGGAAGUCCGGGCUAAGUUCGUGCCAGCAGCCGCGGUAACACGAACCGGACGAACGUUAUUCGGAAUUAUUGGGCUUAAAGGGUGCGUAGGCGGUGCGGUAAGUGAGGUGUGAAAGCCCACGGCUCACCGUGGAAUUGCGCUUCAUACUGCCGUGCUAAAGGGA